UACGUAGGGUGCAAGCGUUGUCCGGAAUUAUUGGGCGUAAAGGGCUCGUAGGUGGUCCAUCGCGUCGGGAGUGAAAAGCUGGGGCUUAACCCCAGUCCUGCUUCCGAUACGGGUGGACUAGAGGUAGGCAGGGGAGAACGGAAUUCCUGGUGUAGCGGUGAAAUGCGCAGAUAUCAGGAGGAACACCGGUGGCGAAGGCGGUUCUCUGGGCCUUACCUGACGCUGGGGAGCGAAAGCGUGGGGAGCAAACAGG
rnacentral:rRNA from 1 species